rnacentral:rRNA from 1 species
UACGGGGGGGGCAAGCGUUGUUCGGAAUUACUGGGCGUAAAGGGCUUGUAGGUGGCCAACUAAGUCAGACGUGAAAUCCCUCGGCUUAACCGGGGAACUGCGUCUGAUACUGGAUGGCUUGAGUGUGGGAGAGGGAUGCGGAAUUCCAGGUGUAGCGGUGAAAUGCGUAGAGAUCGGGAGGAACACCCGUGGCGAAGGCGGCUCACUGGGCCGGUCCUGACGCUGAGACGCGAAGGCGUGGGGAGCGAACGGG